UAGCAAAGUUCUAGAAAGUGCUGUCUGGGU
rnacentral:piRNA from 1 species